rnacentral:rRNA from 1 species
UACGGAGGGUGCAAGCGUUGUCCGGAUUUAUUGGGUUUAAAGGGUGCGUAGGCGGCUCUUUAAGUCAGUGGUGAAAGCCGACAGCUUAACUGUCGAAAUGCCAUUGAUACUGGGGAGCUUGAGUACAGUAGAGGUAGGCGGAAUUAAUGGUGUAGCGGUGAAAUGCAUAGAUACCAUUAAGAACACCGAUUGCGAAGGCAGCUUACUAUAGUGUAACUGACGCUGAGGCACGAAAGUGUGGGGAGUCAAAACAGG